rnacentral:rRNA from 1 species
UACGGAGGGGGCUAGCGUUGUUCGGAAUUACUGGGCGUAAAGCGCGCGUAGGCGGCUUUGUAAGUUAGAGGUGAAAGCCCGGAGCUCAACUCCGGAACUGCUUUUAAAACUGCAUCGCUUGAAUCCAGGAGAGGUGAGUGGAAUUCCGAGUGUAGAGGUGAAAUUCGUAGAUAUUCGGAAGAACACCAGUGGCGAAGGCGGCUCACUGGACUGGUAUUGACGCUGAGGUGCGAAAGCGUGGGGAGCAAACAGG